AUUGAACGCUAGCGGCAGGCCUAACACAUGCAAGUCGAACGAGUGGCGGACGGGUGAGUAAUGUCUGGGAAACUGCCCGAUGGAGGGGGAUAACUACUGGAAACGGUAGCUAAUACCGCAUACCCUCGUCUGUGCCCAGAUGGGAUUAGCUAGUAGGUGGGGUAAAGGCUCACCUAGGCGACGAACCCUAGCUGGCCUGAGAGGAUGACCAGCCCCACUGGGACUGAGACACGGUCCAGACUCCUUCGGGAGGCAGCAGUGGGGAAUAUUGCACAAUAGGCGCAAGCCUGAUGCAGCCAUGCCGCGUGUAUGAAGAAGGCCUUCGGGUUGUAAAGUACUUUCAGCGGGGAGGCGUUACCCGCAGAAGAAGCACCGGCUAACUACGUGCCAGCAGCCGCGGUAAUUC
rnacentral:rRNA from 1 species